UGCAGUCGAGCGGAGUGAUGGUGCUUGCACUAUCACUUAGCGGCGGACGGGUGAGUAAUGCUUAGGAAUCUGCCUAUUAGUGGGGGACAACAUUUCGAAAGGAAUGCUAAUACCGCAUACGUCCUACGGGAGAAAGCAGGGGAUCUUCGGACCUUGCGCUAAUAGAUGAGCCUAAGUCGGAUUAGCUAGUUGGUGGGGUAAAGGCCUACCAAGGCGACGAUCUGUAGCGGGUCUGAGAGGAUGAUCCGCCACACUGGGACUGAGACACGGCCCAGACUCCUACGGGAGGCAGCAGUGGGGAAUAUUGGACAAUGGGCGCAAGCCUGAUCCAGCCAUGCCGCGUGUGUGAAGAAGGCCUUAUGGUUGUAAAGCACUUUAAGCGAGGAGGAGGCUACUGAAGUUAAUACCUUCAGAUAGUGGACGUUACUCGCAGAAUAAGCACCGGCUAACUCUGUGCCAGCAGCCGCGGUAAUACAGAGGGUGCAAGCGUUAAUCGGAUUUACUGGGCGUAAAGCGCGCGUAGGCGGCUAAUUAAGUCAAAUGUGAAAUCCCCGAGCUUAACUUGGGAAUUGCAUUCGAUACUGGUUAGCUAGAGUGUGGGAGAGGAUGGUAGAAUUCCAGGUGUAGCGGUGAAAUGCGUAGAGAUCUGGAGGAAUACCGAUGGCGAAGGCAGCCAUCUGGCCUAACACUGACGCUGAGGUGCGAAAGCAUGGGGAGCAAACAGGAUUAGAUACCCUGGUAGUCCAUGCCGUAAACGAUGUCUACUAAGCCGUUGGGGCCUUUUGAGGCUUUAGUGGCGCAGCUAACGCGAUAAGUAGAACCGCCUGGGGAGUAC
rnacentral:rRNA from 1 species